rnacentral:lncRNA from 1 species
AUAAAGGAAGAGGGCAACGUUAUCAUCUGACUGCUUGUAGCUGUGGAAGGGCGGCGUAGAAGAGGAAAGGCUGGGGGUUUCGGAUGGUUGUUUUUGAAGCCAUCAGUAUUCUUGAAGAAGCAGCAUAUCUUGAACUGUCCUAUGGGUGAAGGCUUUGAUGUGGUCCUGUAAAAACUGGCAUUGAAAUGGAUGGCAUCUGAUCCUGCUUCAUGUGAUUCUUCAUUUAGCUCUGGACUCUUUACAUCAUUAAGGCUUUUUCUUUGCAGGAAUUUAAAAGCAACCCUAUGAAUAUAACAUUUGUCAAAAAGAGCAAGUGCCAAGCCAGUUGAGAAUAACCUUACAAUGUGUACAAGGAUUCCAGGAAGAAGUGUUAUCAAUUCUGUUGAUGGACCCCUUAAUCUCUUCUACUGAUUAUCUUCUACUUGAACCAGUGCCAAAUUAAUGUUGCAAGCUUUGUCUUGAAAUAUAAACAUGCACUAACCAGUGGAAAAGCUUGCCUAAGUGAUUGUUGUCAUAAUGACACGGAUUCAAUGAAUAAUUCUAUUCAUGGAAUUUCAUCAGCUUAAUAAGGAAAGAGUAAACAAAACAUCACUAUAACUGUGUACAAAGUUGGAAUGUUUGCAUUUAUCAGCAAGUACUAAUUUAUUGAAGGUCCAUUAUAAACAGCCCUUUUUUAUGUAAUGUAAAAGUCUUAAUGUAAAGACACUUACAUUAAUAUUACAACUAGUUUUAAAUUAUUAUUCCUUCAGAGUGGCAGGUGCUAAUCGAUGUUUAAUGUUGUCUUUUUCUUUAUUUUAUGUAGGUCCAUAAGGCCUUUUAAAAUAAAAAUAAGAUGUAUAAUGUAC